rnacentral:rRNA from 1 species
GACGAACGCUGGCGGCGUGCUUAACACAUGCAAGUCGAACGGAAAGGCCCUGCUUUUGUGGGUUGCUCGAGUGGCGAACGGGUGAGUAACACGUGAGUAACCUGCCCUUGACUUUGGGAUAACUUCAGGAAACUGGGGCUCAUACCGGAUAUGAUCUCCUGCUGCAUGGUGGUGGUUGGAAAGUUUCGGCGGUUGGGGCUGGACUCGCGGCUUAUCAGCUUGUUGGUGGGGUAGUGGCUUACCAAGGCUUUGACGGGUAGCCGGCCUGAGAGGGUGACCGGCCACAUUGGGACUGAGAUACGGCCCAGACUCCUACGGGAGGCAGCAGUGGGGAAUAUUGCACAAUGGGCGGAAGCCUGAUGCAGCAACGCCGCGUGCGGGAUGACGGCCUUCGGGUUGUAAACCGCUUUCGCCUGUGACGAAGAGUGAGUGACGGUAAUGGAUAAAGAAGCACCGGCUAACUACGUG